UAGUAAACUGUACACCAUACAUGAACAGAAAAUAGAGAACAUAGAGUACAAAAUUAGCUAAAACCUUUUCGCAUUUUCUUAAUAUUUACUUUAUUUCAAGUAUAUUCUCAUGAUGAUAUUAAUUCAUAAUCAUGAUAAAUUAAUAUUAUAAUCAUGUUUGUAACAAUGUUAUUUUAUCUUAUUAAUUGACACCGUUAAAAUAAUUUAGAAGAUAAUAGAAAUAUUAAGAUUAAACGUGAUCUUUCCGAUUUCACUGACUUUGACAUAUGUUGUCAAGGACAUAGCUACUAACUUGCAAAAAGUUUUACACUGUUUAAAAUAUUUUAUUUUAGCCGCCAUUCAUUGCUUAUAAGGUCAUUGCAAACGGCAGCUGGCAAAUCCUUUCUCGAAAAAGAUAGCGACUUUGAAUCGAUGAAAUUAUCGAUGCAUUUUUGGAUUUCUUCCACACUUUUAAAAUGUGUAUCAACCACAAACAUCUAUACUAUAACCUAAACCGCUAACUCCCAGUGAUUUUGUACAUAAAAUGUGUCCACGAAAACCACGUAAUAUAGUGGCGCAUGCGUAACGUUGGUAGAAAAAGUAAUAUGGUGGAUACAUGUGGCCACGGUAACCUUGCGCUUGGACUUAUUUCUUAGGUUAAGUUUCACGAGUGGUAUGUUUUACGGUCAACGAGGCUUGUAUGUAUCUCACCGAAUAUUGCGAUAGAGGAGAAAUUUUUAUAGGAAAGCAGGAAAUAUAAUAUUAUAUAUACAAAUAUAUAUAUGAAAGUAUAUUUAUUUAUAUCAUUUAUUGUAUAUAAUAGCUUGUAGAAAAUAGUACAUGUCGUUUAAUAG